ensembl:lncRNA
GGAAAGAAUGUUUGUUCUCCCCAAUUUGUGGUCGAGGGAAAUUCCUUAUCGCCUUGGACUAUGGGAAUUCCAAUACUAGAAUGGACAUGAACCUUCUUAUGAUGGGAUAAAAGCAGUUAUCAAAGACCCAGAUACAGGCAGGUGCCAUCCAACCCAAACCUGCAAACCAUCAUCAUCAUCAUUCAGUGCUGGAUAGUGGAGAUGGCAUUUGGGCCCAGCAGAGGGCACUGUAGCCUUGGAUUCAAUUUGAGUUCGCCUGAGCCACUAUGGAUGUCAGAGCGGCUACAUCAUGCUCUCACAAACAUGACAUGACAGCUAUCAAGA